GACGUAGGGCGCGAGCGUUGUCCGGAUUUAUUGGGCGUAAAGAGCUCGUAGGCGGCUUGUCGCGUCGAAUGUGAAAACUCGGGGCUCAACUCCGAGCUUGCAUUCGAUACGGGCAGGCUAGAGUUCGGUAGGGGAGACUGGAAUUCCUGGUGUAGCGGUGAAAUGCGCAGAUAUCAGGAAGAACACCCGUGGCGAAGGCGGUUCUCUGGGACGGUACUGACGCUGAGACGCGAAAGCGUGGGGAGCGAACAGG
rnacentral:rRNA from 1 species